rnacentral:rRNA from 1 species
UACAGAGGGUGCAAGCGUUGUUCGGAGUUACUGGGCGUAAAGGGCGCGUAGGCGGCGCACCAAGUCAGGCGUGAAAGCCCUGGGCUCAACCCGGGAAUUGCGCUUGAGACUGGUGUGCUCGAGUACGGGAGAGGAUAGUGGAAUUCCCAGUGUAGAGGUGAAAUUCGUAGAUAUUGGGAAGAACACCGGUGGCGAAGGCGGCUAUCUGGACCGUAACUGACGCUGAGGCGCGAAAGCGUGGGGAGCAAACAGG